rnacentral:pre_miRNA from 12 species
CUCGGCUACAGAUUUUCCUUAGCAGAGCUGUGGAGUGUGACAAUGGUGUUUGUGUCCAAACUAUCAAACGCCAUUAUCACACUAAAUAGCUACUGUUAGGCAAUCCUUCUGCUCAAUA